rnacentral:lncRNA from 1 species
ACGGGAGAAGCUUGGAGUCUGCAGAAAUGUAGCUCUUUCAUCUUCCUAGUAUUAGUUUAGCUUAGUAUAGAGUAGUGUAGCUUUUCCAUUCUUGUUUAUUAUCUAGAUGAGGAUGAAGAUGGAGGAUGAAGAAGGCAAGGAAGAAAGCUCAUGUGACAAGGGUUGUAUUCCUUCCAAACUCUUUAUCUUUUGUACUUGAUUCCAAGUUUAGCUAAUAUACAAGUUCUGGAUUUUGUGUUUAAUAUGUGUCUUUAAAGUUUAUACCUUGGGUUUGGUUGAACUUUCUAUGAUUGUGAGUGUUUAUUCUUUGGUUAUUUGACUGCUAUGAUUUAAGCAAGUUAUUUAGCACUUUGGCUCUUUAAAUAAUGAUUAAUCUGGUACCAUUGAUUGUGAUUAUCUAAGGUGUUGUUUCUGCAAUGAAAAUUGAGAUUUAACACUAGUUCAAGAGGUGCUAAACAUAGGGAGUACACUCACGAAAGUAGAGGUGCACUUAUGUGGUUUUUAGUGAUUCAUUUCAUGUAAUUUCAUUGAAGAAAUGAACUUGUAGCUAAUUUCAUAACCAUGAAAAUAGGUAUGGAUUAGUUAUGAGUAUAGUUG